AUUGAACGCUGGCGGCAGGCCUAACACAUGCAAGUCGAGCGGAUGAAGGGAGCUUGCUCCUGGCUUCAGCGGCGGACGGGUGAGUAAUGCCUAGGAAUCUGCCUGGUAGUGGGGGAUAACGUCAGGAAACGGGCGCUAAUACCGCAUACGUCAUGAGGGUGAAAGUGGGGGAUCUUCGGACCUCGCGCUAUCAGAUGAGCCUAGGUCGGAUUAGCUAGUUGGUGGGGUAAAGGCCUACCAAGGCGACGAUCCGUAACUGGUCUGAGAGGAUGAUCAGUCACACUGGAACUGAGACACGGUCCAGACUCCUACGGGAGGCAGCAGUGGGGAAUAUUGGACAAUGGGCGAAAGCCUGAUCCAGCCAUGCCGCGUGUGUGAAGAAGGUCUUCGGAUUGUAAAGCACUGUUAGUAGGGAGGAAGGGCAGUAAGUUAAUACCUUGCUGUUUUGACGUUACCAACAGAAUAAGCACCGGCUAACUUCGUG
rnacentral:rRNA from 1 species